rnacentral:rRNA from 1 species
GAAUAUUGGGCAAUGGAGGCAACUCUGACCCAGCCAUGCCGCGUGCAGGAAGAAGGCCUUCUGGGUUGUAAACUGCUUUUAUCUGGGAAGAAAACACCUAUGCGUAGGGAACUGACGGUACCAGAUGAAUAAGCACCGGCUAACUCCGUUCCAGCAGCCGCGGUAAUACGGAGGGUGCAAGCGUUGUCCGGAUUUAUUGGGUUUAAAGGGUGCGUAGGCGGCCCGUUAAGUCAGUGGUGAAAUCCUCCAGCUCAACUGGAGAACUGCCAUUGAUACUGACGGGCUUGAGUACAGACGAGGUUGGCGGAAUUGAUUGUGUAGCGGUGAAAUGCAUAGAUACAAUCAAGAACACCGAUUGCGUAGGCAGCUAACUAGGCUGUAACUGACGCUGAGGCACGAAAGCGUGGGGAGCGAACAGG